ACCAUACUUCCUCCGUCUCAUAUUAAAUGACCUUCUAUUACAUGUAUCUAGAUGCUUUUUAGGUAUAGAUACAUUCAUGUUUGGGCAAAUUUGAGUCACUUUAUAUGGGACGGAGGGAGUAAAAU
rnacentral:pre_miRNA from 1 species